rnacentral:rRNA from 1 species
GACGAACGCUGGCGGCGUGCCUAAUACAUGCAAGUAGGACGCAGUUGCGAACGGGUGAGUAACGCGUAGGUAACUACCUAUUAGAGGGGGAGAACUAUUGGAAACGAUAGCUAAUACCGCAUACUAGUAGAUGGACCUGCGUUGUAUUAGCUAGUAGGUAGGGUAAUGGCCUACCUAGGCAAAUAUAACUAGCCGACCGGAGAGGGUGAUCUGCCGACAUGGGACUGAGACACGGAUCAGAUGCCUACUGUAGGCAGCAGUAGGGAAUCUUCGGCAAUGGGGGGAACCCUGACCGAGCAACGCCGCGGGAUUGAAGAAGGUUUUCGGAUCGUAAAGCUCUGUUGUUAAGGAAGCGGUACUUAACCAGAAAGGGACGGCUAACUACGUGCCAGCCGCCGCGGUAAUAC